rnacentral:rRNA from 1 species
UACGUAGGGUGCGAGCGUUAUUCGGAAUUACUGGGCGUAAAGUGUGCGCAGGCGGCCGCGCAAGUCGAGUGUGAAAGCCCCGGGCUUAACUUGGGAAUUGCGCUCGAAACUACGUGGCUGGAGUAUGGCAGAGGAAGGUGGAAUUCCACGUGUAGCGGUGAAAUUCGUAGAUAUUGGGAAGAACACCGGUGGCGAAGGCGGCGAGCUGGUCCAUUACUGACGCUGAGGCGCGACAGCGUGGGGAGCAAACAGG